rnacentral:rRNA from 1 species
GUGAGGAAUAUUGGUCAAUGGGCGAGAGCCUGAACCAGCCAAGUCGCGUGAAGGAAGAAGGAUCUAUGGUUCGUAAACUUCUUUUGCAGGGGAAUAAAGUGCAGGACGUGUCCUGUUUUGUAUGUACCCUGAGAAUAAGGAUCGGCUAACUCCGUGCCAGCAGCCGCGGUAAUACGGAGGAUCCGAGCGUUAUCCGGAUUUAUUGGGUUUAAAGGGUGCGUAGGUGGUUUGAUAAGUCAGCGGUGAAAGGUUGCAGCUUAACGGUAAAAAUGCCGUUGAAACUGUCGGACUUGAGUGUAAAUGAGGUAGGCGGAAUGCGUGGUGUAGCGGUGAAAUGCAUAGAUAUCACGCAGAACUCCGAUUGCGAAGGCAGCUUACUGGGAUGCAACUGACACUGAUGCACGAAAGCGUGGGGAUCAAACAGGAUUAGAAACCCUUGUAGUCC